UGGGUGUCAACUUGCUGCUAGAGGAGUGGCUGUUGUGAAGCCACAGACUCCCCACCUCUCCUACUGGGUGAUCAGUUUGGAUGCUUUUGGCCAGGAGCGGCCAGUUAAGCUGCAGUGGAACCUACCAGCUGUUUUGUCCUUCCGAGUUGCUGCCACGACCAGUGUGGGCACACAUAAUUACGCCUGGUUUACCUCUGCUCCGUGGAGUCGGCCGUCUGCAGUUUGCUGCACUCCAAGCAACUG